GCCUCUUCCCCACCAAGAACACCAUUUGGUUUCCCCCAGCUGGGUCUCUAUUUAGGUACGCCUCCCCAACUUCCAGUGUCUGGCCAGCUCCUGGUCCCUGAUUUUCCUCAGGUGGGCAGGUUUGUGAACAACAAGAGAUCUGGGUCUGGAAUCUGUUGCCCUCGAGCUGUGGGCCGUCCGGCUAACGAAGGAAGAAAUUUGGGCUGCUGGAAGAGGCAGGGUUCUGUUCUGUUCCUGGGAGGCCUGGAGAGCCAGCAGCCGGGAGAGCGGAAGAUGGGCAGCAAUGACAGCAAACAUAAGCAAGUGCAGAAGUUUUAAAACUACAGUUCCUAAGACCCAGCAAGGCAGGCACCCCCAGCCCCACUCCUGUAACAGAGAAAACAACUCCCACUUUGCCAUUGCAUCUGAUUGCCAGGAAGCUCUUAUUUUGUGGGAAGAGGGCUGUACUGAACGAACCCUUCUGGAAUCAUCACCCAGAAGCGCCCACUGCUGACGGGGUCCGUCUUCCCGGCUGGCAGACGAUGCAG
rnacentral:lncRNA from 9 species